rnacentral:rRNA from 1 species
UACGUAGGGUGCAAGCGUUAAUCGGAAUUACUGGGCGUAAAGCGUGCGCAGGCGGUUUUGUAAGUCUGUCGUGAAAGCCCCGGGCUCAACCUGGGAAUUGCGAUGGAGACUGCAAGGCUUGAAUCUGGCAGAGGGGGGUAGAAUUCCACGUGUAGCAGUGAAAUGCGUAGAGAUGUGGAGGAACACCGAUGGCGAAGGCAGCCCCCUGGGUCAAGAUUGACGCUCAUGCACGAAAGCGUGGGGGAGCAAACAGG